rnacentral:rRNA from 1 species
UACAGAGGUGGCAAGCGUUGUUCGGAAUUACUGGGCGUAAAGCGUGCGCAGGCGGUUUGCUAAGACAGGUGUGAAAUCCCCGGGCUUAACCUGGGAACUGCGCUUGUAACUGGCAAGCUAGAGUGUGGCAGAGGGGGGUGGAAUUCCAGGUGUAGCAGUGAAAUGCGUAGAGAUCUGGAGGAACACCGAUGGCGAAGGCAGCCCCCUGGGCUAACACUGACGCUCAUGCACGAAAGCGUGGGGAGCAAACAGG